GACGAACGCUGGCGGCGUGCUUAACACAUGCAAGUCGAACGGAAAGGCCCUGCUUUUGUGGGGUGCUCGAGUGGCGAACGGGUGAGUAACACGUGAGUAACCUGCCCUUGACUUUGGGAUAACUUCAGGAAACUGGGGCUAAUACCGGAUAGGAGCUCCUGCUGCAUGGUGGGGGUUGGAAAGUUUCGGCGGUUGGGGAUGGACUCGCGGCUUAUCAGCUUGUUGGUGGGGUAGUGGCCUACCAAGGCUUUGACGGGUAGCCGGCCUGGGAGGGUGACCGGGCCCCAUGGGCCCUCGGUACCGGCCCGACCCCCUCGGGGGGGAAGGGGGGGAGAAUGUUCCAAAAGGGGCGGAGUCAUGAAGCAGGACCCCGGGUUGGGGAACGACGUCCUUGGGGUUGAAACCCCUUUUGGCCGGUAAGCACGGGUAGGUACGGUAACUUGUAAAAAAGGCACGGCUAACUACGGG
rnacentral:rRNA from 1 species